UGGCUACAUCCCUCUCAGCAGUUUCAGAGAUAUGCUUUGGAAAAAACGCUUCAGACCAGACCUUUCCCCUCCCUUCACCAUGAUUUCUGGGAAAUUGUUCUUCAUACUGCAUAUUUGUGGAUACUCAGACAAAAUCACUUGCCAUCUGCUGUUGUGCAGAAGAGCUGCUGUGACAGAUCUCAGAGAUGACCUUGUCUCCCCCACACCAACUUUGCUGCAGCUUCAAGCUGUGUCACAGCUAAAGGUGGACUUGGACAUCACAGGUGACCACUGGGAUGGCUUUUUUCAAGAAAAACCCUGAUGGCUACAAACUGGAUUAAUUGCCAAGCAGGAUGGAUAAGGCUUUGCUGUCCUGAAAGGGAAGCCAGAGCAGCUUGGGGAGAGAGGCCAAGCUGCACACAAGGAGGUCAAGUUCUUCAUUCCCUUUGACUUUUGAUGAGAUAUGCCUUUGAAAAUCCUCUCUCAUAUAUCCUAAAAAAAAAAGUCUCCAGUUUCCAGGCCAGAGCCCAAGCACAAAAUAUACUUCAGAAACUUCAGCAUGGAGGGUUCUGCUGUAGCAAGGCUCUGGGAAUAGAGAGCAAGUCCUUUAUGGACAUCCCAGAAUCAGGAUGGUGUCACUAAACUGGCCAGCUUUCUGCACUGCUAUUGCAGAUAUAGCAGGACAGGGCCACUUCUCACAUGAAUAUCUAAUGUUUCUAUCUCUAAUGUUUCCUUCCCUGGGAUGUGUUUAAAAGCCUAUCUGCCCAUCACAGCUACCUCCUCCUGCUUCCCUUUCAAGACAUGUCAGGAGGCCAUCCUGCUGCCAGGCAGAGUGUAGUUUAUGUUCAUUUUCCCUGGGUAAGGCCAGAGCGGUGUCACUGACCCAGCCGAAUGUUUCUUCACCAAAACACAAAUUAAAACCACCCCCCGUUGUCAGUGACCGACUCUCUGUGCAGUGUGGAGGGUUUGUCCCUGUCCUCAUCCCCAUCCAGCCCGGGAGUGUCACCGAGGCCACGCGGAUGUGGCAGCGGCUGGGAC